CAUGAGCUUGGGAUUCAUGCCAGCAAAGUUUCUGAGGGGCCUUUUCUCACCCUGUGUUCUGUGCAUAAGUUUCUCCUUCUUAGAGCCUUUUCCUCUGUUUAGGAACAAACUUUGUUUUAUGAUCCCUAAAGCGGUUAGCAACUGAUGACUUUUCCACAGCCGAGGAUGAAAGACCAUGUUGCAGGUUUCAGAGACUGAGGUCCUUAAGAAACAGCUUCUGGUCUAGAUUUGACACAUUUGUGGACACUUGGUUCUAAACUACUGUUAAGCAUUAGUAAAGCCUUGCUUGCUUAUGAAAAAUGCAUUCUAAAAUGGACUUGGGGUGCCUAAAACAUAUGACAUUAAGAAAGAGCGUUAGGAAUAUACAAACAAUCAAUAUUUGGAGAAUUAAUUAUGCUAAAUUUAAGACUAAUGUAGUUGUUACAAUUGAGUAAUGCUUUUGAGCUUCCUGGUGGCCAGGGUUAAAAGAAAAGUCUAACAAAAGAGGAAACAGAAUGAUUUCUAGGGAGAAAUAAUAGAUUUUAUUUCAUUUCAUAUAUUUUGCCACAGAUACAGUUGAAAAAAAUAUGUCACAUAAAACCUUCUAAUGGGGGGCACUAAUAGGUACAAUGGAAAAUGCCCUCUCUAGCAACAUUAAAACUAAGACAAAACUGGUUUUUAAAUGUUUGCUUGAUAAAUCAACUUUGAUGUUUAAUAAAGAACUUGGGUGCAUAGGAAGCAUUCAAUAGUUGUUGAAUGAAUAAAUGAAUAAAUGAAUGAAUGAAGAAAAAGAUUUAAAAAUGUUCAUUUUACUUAAUGACCUGAUAACUUCUCCUGGAAUUAACUAUGAAUUUCACUACACCCAUGAGAACUAUGGAAAAUUUUUCAGUUUCAAAUCUCAAACUUUUCUGAGUAAUGGGUGUAAUGAAAUUCUUCCGUGGUUAUGUUCAAUAUUUGGGCAAAAGCAGAACAUGCUGGAAGGGAUCAUGCUGUAUAAAUGUUUUUCUUUCUUUAGCUACUGCGGUAAGCCUGUCUCUGCUUCUCUGCUAGUUUUAGAAGUGGCAUUCUUACCAUCCUUGGAACAGUACUCGGUCAGGCCCACUUUGGCCUCUGACAGUACGGAGUUGACGAGUCAGCCUCUUUUUAUGUGAAAACAUCUAUCAUGUCUCCCCAAAGACUUGACUAAACAUUCUUCUGAUAUGAGGUAAUUAUUUCUUAUUUGCUGCAUUUGUUGUGAACACUGAUAAUCUCGUGAAGAUCUAUUAUGUGUCAACUUACUCCUUUCUGAUCUACUUAACUAGUGGAUGCCAUCUUUAGAUGUAUGUGUUGUAGUGG
ensembl:lncRNA